rnacentral:tRNA from 1 species
GCCGGGAUGGCGGAAUUGGUAGACGCACAGGACUUAAAAUCCUGAGGGGCGCAAGCCCCGUGCCGGUUCAAGUCCGGCUCUCGGUACAA